GGACCUUUAUUUUAUUUUAUUUUAUUUCUUAGUUUUGUGGGCAAUUCUUUCUAGAUUUUGCAUUAUUAGUAGCAAUGGAACACUGUCCUCUAAAACAUUGCACAGUCCUAUUGUUGCACGCUCAUCCUCUGCAAACCAUGAAGUAGUCUGAUCCCUAAAAAUACAAACAUAAAUUGAAUUUUUCACUUCUGAUUGAAGAAAGAAAUCACUUUUUGCUAUUUUAAUCUCUAUCGAACCAUUUCCCUACCCCAGAACCCAAAAAUGAUAAGUUCAAGUCUUAUAAAGUCAUGCUUUGUGAACCAGGAAGUAGCAUGCUAGCACAAACAAAGACAAAGACGGACCUCGACAAUCUCUAUUUUUUCUGCUUUUGUUGACUGUUCAAUGUCUUUGUUCUACUCAGCGCUGCUCUCGUUUACAUUUUUUCUUAUUCGUGCUUGCAGUUUGGGACCCGCUACAAAGCUUUUGAAAGUAUUUUAAGCGCCUCUUCUUGCCGUGGUUGUUUUCUCAGUCAGUGCGGGCUGUUUUCCUCUGAGGAACCCAGUCAGCGCUGACUUAUUAAUUUUUAAUGUAAGCGUUUGGGUUAGGGACCCUCACUCCUUGUUUACAUCCUUGUGAUGUUCCCGCCUUUGUGUCAAGACGAUGUCAUGCAUUUAUAGUGUCUGCAUUGUGUGUGUUUGUUUGGUGUCUGUUCCUCUCGCAGGUCACAAGAGGGCUGCAGCCGAUGGGACGCGGCUGGCUAAAGGUUCUCAGGAUACAAAAAUUGAGGAGUGGUGCGGGGUGGGUGCCAGGGCAGUUUGGUUAUUGUUUGCGGGCAUGUUGGGAGGCAGAGCGGGGUGAAUGGGGAGUGUCAAGGGGUUGGGAUAAUUGCUGACUCUAUUUUGAGGACAUAAAAACCUCUGCAGCAGCAUCUCGGGCCCAAAGCCCACCCCACUCCUCCUUGUAAUGAAAAUGAAGUUCUAUGAUCCCUCUAGCUCAUUAACAGCAGGUCUUUUAAUGAGCUUUCAACAAGGUGGGGGCUGGGUAGAUGAUGACAAGUAUGGUUGGAGUGCGGCUGGGUGAGUUAUUGCACCAGAUGUACACACGCCCACUCGUCCCAAUUACCAUUGUGUUAUGGAGAAUAAAGUGGAAAUGAAGACGGAAGCCUCAGACUUCCAUGAGUUACCGGUUGUUAUUCCGUUUUUUUUUUUGUUUUUUUGCUCCACAGAGACAGAAAAAAGGAGGAGGGAAGGAGUGGUGGCUUCCAGGUGACAGGUAACAUCCUCUAUGACUCCCUCUGGUAAACUCUGGCCUCCUUGUCCCCGAGGCGCCGCCAUUUGCCGCAAGUACGGGCGCAAUUGUGUAAGCGCACACCUCUCUGCUGUCGCCGGCCAAUCACGAGGCGAGGACACGUCGAAGGCCAAGUGGAGAGCGAGGCACGCGGCACUUUUCUGACCAGUUGGCCGACCUCAACUCAAGUAAGGUGGACUUUGACUUCUUUCAGCCACACACACACACACACACACACACACACACACACACACACACACACACACACACACCCAUAAACUGCAAAGAUAAAUGUUACAUUCAUGUCAAUGAGGGAGACCUGUAUUCAAGAUCAAAACUUUUUUUUUAACACUGUUUCAUAUUGAGGG